rnacentral:rRNA from 1 species
UACGUAGGGCGCGAGCGUUGUCCGGAAUUAUUGGGCGUAAAGAGCUCGUAGGCGGUUUGUCGCGUCGGCUGUGAAAACCUGGGGCUCAACCCCGGGCCUGCAGCCGAUACGGGCAAACUAGAAUUCGGUAGGGGAGACUGGAAUUCCUGGUGUAGCGGUGAAAUGCGCAGAUAUCAGGAGGAACACCGGUGGCGAAGGCGGGUCUCUGGGCCGAUAUUGACGCUGAGGAGCGAAAGCGUGGGGAGCAAACAGG